CCUACGGGUGGCUGCAGUGGGGAAUAUUGGACAAUGGGCGAAAGCCUGAUCCAGCCAUGCCGCGUGUGUGAAGAAGGCCUUCGGGUUGUAAAGCACUUUCAGUGGGGAAGAAAGCCUUGGGGCUAAUACCCUCGAGGAAGGACAUCACCCACAGAGGAAGCACCGGCUAACUCCGUGCCAGCAGCCGCGGUAAUACGGAGGGUGCGAGCGUUAAUCGGAAUUACUGGGCGUAAAGCGCGCGUAGGCGGUCUGAUAAGCCGGUUGUGAAAGCCCCGGGCUCAACCUGGGAACGGCAUCCGGAACUGUCAGGCUAGAGUGCAGGAGAGGAAGGUAGAAUUCCCGGUGUAGCGGUGAAAUGCGUAGAGAUCGGGAGGAAUACCAGUGGCGAAGGCGGCCUUCUGGACUGACACUGACGCUGAGGUGCGAAAGCGUGGGUAGCAAACAGGAUUAGAUACCCCAGUAGUC
rnacentral:rRNA from 1 species